CGUUCUCAGUUCGGAUUGUAGGCUGCAACUCGCCUACAUGAAGCUGGAAUCGCUAGUAAUCGCGGAUCAGCAUGCCGCGGUGAAUACGUUCCCGGGCCUUGUACACACCGCCCGUCACACCACGAGAGUUUGUAACACCCGAAGUGCGGUGGGGUAACCUUUUUGGAGCCAG
rnacentral:rRNA from 1 species